rnacentral:lncRNA from 1 species
AGGGAGUUCUGCCCCUGCCAAGGGGUGCUGGCCACGCAGGAGGCUUAACCUGGCCGGCGCGGGAAUGGGGUGCAGAGAGCAAAGAAAUGUGGCUUUGAUCUUAUGGAUGCCUUACUUUUACAUUAUUUGUACAGUUCUUGCAGUGAGCUUUCCGGACCACUGUCUUGUAUGUUUCCUAAGAAAAGCAAAAAGGGAAGAGAUUGAAGAGAAAGUAGAUUUUCAACUACAAACUUUCAUCCAUUUGCUUUCAGCUUAAGCAAAUGUGCGCAAAGUUGUCAUGGAUUUUUGCAGUCAAUAAAAACCAAGCAAGAAGACUGAAUCCCAAGUCAUCUGGUAUAAAUGGAAGCAGUUUCUGUGAUAGUUCCACGCGGUCAGAAGGGUCAUCCUGGCUUAGGAGAGGGGCAGAAGAGGAAAUGCACGCGUGGAAACAGGAGUGGGCAGGGAGGAUGUGACACUGUCCUCCUCACCAGGCCACGUUCCUGGCACCAACCAUAGUGUUUGGGCAGAUAAGAAAAGAAACAAUUUGCUGAAACUCCCUCUGCUUAUAACAAAACUGACUGAAAUCAGCCGGAAUCAAUAUGGCCAAAUGCAGUUUGCGCACAGCAAGCUUGCUGAUGUCACAGCCUGAAUUUCUACUGCAUGUUUCAUACCAACUCCCUCCAAAUUUGCACAUGGGACCCACCAGGAAGCAUGAAGAGAGAGCCAUGCAUGCCUGAAGACUUCCCAGAUGUUCCCUUUGCUUCCACCAAUCACCUGCUAACCCCAGGAUCCAACCCUAAACCUUUUGUAAUAAAAUUACUGCCCUAAAGCCAGUACAAGACAGAUUUGAACUGGACUUUUGUUUCCUCAGAAGUUAACUUGCAAUGUGAAGCUUUCCUUUUCUCAAAAACUUGGUGUCAUAGUGUUGGCUUCUAGUGCAGUGAGCCCCUUUUGCUGGAUAACCUUACCUGGUAAUUUGACAUACUAGGUGGUUAGUAACUACUGACUGUCUCCAGGUUACAACACAGUUAUUACCCACUUGGGUGAAAAGAGAAGACAGGAAAUACAUUUUGGAGUUGGCUGGCAACCUGUUUACAAAGCAAUUUACAACAGUUCCUUAUUCUUAAGGGGCUAUUCUAAUACAAGACCUCAGAGAAACAGUGCAGUGUGACAAAGGAGGAAUUUAUCAAAGGAGACAGAAAAAGCAUCAAGGCAAGCUGUGAAAUGGUGCGGUAGGAACCAAAUAGAGAGCCAAAGGAUCUUUCUGUCACUGCAGGCCCUUAGGGGAGGACACAGCAAGAAGCCUCUCCCAGAUGCUGGCACCUUGAUCUUGGACUUCUCAGCCUCUGGAACUGUGAGGCAAAUACAUUUCUGUUCUUUAUAAGUUACCCAGUUGGUGGUAUUCUGUUAUCACAGCAUAAACAGACUAAGACACAAAGUUGGUGGCACUUUGUGAUGGCUGCCCAAGCUGUCUAAGCCCCUUCCUCAUGCUCAGAUACACAGCCUUUGCUUAAGGCUGUGGAAGAUGGCUUGCAGCUCCCUGAGGGUGCAGCUGGCUUUCCCUUGAUGCUGUGGACAAGCUGUUCCUGCCACACAGCUUCCUACUGUCUUCACAGCCCCUCACUCAUCUUUUAAGACCCAGUUUCAACAUCACCUACUCAAGGCUAAUUUUGGUGUCCUUCCUCCUUGUCCCAUAGGACAAAUGAUACAUAUUGUGUGUCCCCUUACCACAUCCUGUACUAUAAGUGUUGUGUUAUUGAUUUACUUGUCUGUCUCACCCUCUAAGCCCAAGAGAAAAGAAAACAGCAUCUUAUGCCUUUUUAUUCCUGGUACAAUGUGGUUUCACAGAAGAUAUCAUAUUUAUUUUUAUUGAAUGAAUGAAUAAAUGAAUGGAAAGCAGCAUUGAGUCAUGGUUAUAUAUAAAGUUCUGAGAACAGUGCCUGGCAUAAAUAAGCACUAUUGAGUGUUUGUUAAAUAAAUGAACAAAAUAUAUCUGAACAUGUCUCAGAUCAUUUCUUCUGCAAUUGUAACUGUAAAAAGUCUUGUGAAAGCUAAAGUAGGAACAUAUGGGAAAAUAAAAGCCCAGAUUUGCAGAGAUCCACUCAUGCAAAUACGUUCAAAUUCGAAGUUAUUGCAUUGAUUCCUGACAACUUUAGUCAUGGCUAAACUAGAAUGGAAAAUUUUACUUCCUUCCCUCUGCUUAC